rnacentral:rRNA from 1 species
GGUUCUUAGAGUGAAGAAAGCAUUAAGAAUCUGGCCUGCUCAGUGGGAAUAUUUCUUAACAGCUAUGGUACCCUGACCAUACAAAGGUAGCAUAAUAAAUUGCCCCUUAAUUAGGGGCUAGAAUGAAUGGUAUGACGAGAUUUCUUCUGUCUCUUUUGAUUUCUAUUGAAAUUGUUUUUUGGGUGAAAAAACCUUAAUUUUAGUACGUGACAAAAAGACCCUAUAAAGCUUUUUUGAUUAUCUAGGAAAUUUCUUUAUAUAGAAUUUAGUUGGGGUGACUCUAGAAUGGGAAAAGCUUCUAGUAUAAUAAGUGAUAAACGAAUUUGUGAUCAGGAUAAAUUUUUCAUAUUAAAGGUAAAGUUACUUUAGGGAUAACAGGGCACUUCUUUUAAUGAGUACAUAUUUAUUAAAGAGUUUGCUACCUCGAUGUUGGAUUAAGGUAUCCUAAAGGUGUAUCCGCUUUUGAGGGUUGGUUUGUUCAACCAUUAAAACCUUACAU